rnacentral:lncRNA from 1 species
GAUGUAGGCCAUUGUACUAAUCAGUCAGAAGAGACUCAGAGUCAGUGUGGAAUAGAGGGGCUUCCUCAGCGUUGGUGGACCACAGGGAUCCCUAUGGCAGUGAAAGAGCCAGGUACAGAUCAGUGAUUGUGACUGAUACUGAUUUCAGAAAUAUCAUCAUCACUAUCAAGUAUUCUGAAAGUCAUUGAAAUGUUGGGAAUUGCAGGGGUUCCCAUUCGUCCGUUCUCUGCCCUGCAGUAUCAGUCUCACACCAGCCUCUGCAGAGAGGAUUGGAUCAGACUCCUCAGGGAAUCUAUGAUUGAACUCAGACAACUCCAGCCAACAGUGAGGUACAGUCAAUAAAACAUGACCCCACAAAUGUUGUUCCAAAGCAAUACCCAAUACCACUGUGUGGUUGGUAUAACCGCUGGCCCAGUGAGGAGGCGGCAUGGCCAGGGGAGCACCAAGAGAGGAAAGGGAGCUGACGGAAGCUGAGUCUGACCACCCAGGCCCUGAGGCACCUCCUCCCUAGCCCCUCCCCAGUGGAUAUGAUGACUGACAGGCUGGUAGAGCAGGGAGACACAGAGCCACCUAAUGACGGCCUGCCUCUUAUAGCUGAGGUACUUUACUACUAUGGCCCUGUCUGAGAGUGAGUGUGCUGAGGUAUAAUACUUGGGCAAUGAUGGUUAUUAAAAUAAUGAAUUUCUUUGUCUCAAUGCAGGAGAAACACUGGACUCCGGCACACCUCUCCUCUCAAUCCCCAUCCAAGGAGAGCUCUGAAUCUAUGUUCUCUUUCAGCGCUGCCUCCUCUCUGCCCCCUCUGAGAUGGGGCAUCCCAUAUGUGUAUGGAAGCACAGUGAUGCUGCAGCAGAUCUCCUCCCUGCUUAGUGAUGGAGGAGGGUGUCACAGCAGGCAGGAUGACAGCCCAUCCCUCCCAGCAGGCAAACUCCACCCAGGCUGCCCUGACCUGCCUCUGACCCUAGAGGGCGCCACAGACCCUGUCUCCUUCAACAGCCUGAGUCUAGACAGCAGGAAUGUGGAGGAGCUGGUGUUCUCCACUGAGUGGGGAGUAGAGGAGAUCAUGACCUGUGAUGCCAGGAGACGACCUCGUAAUUGUGAAAGAGGAGGCAGUUCCCCCUGUAUAUGUAACAUUAGACAGAAGACAUAGUCUGAGCAGACUAAAACUCCAUCCUCAGUUCUAUAGUAAUGAGGACAACCAAUCAGUGCCCUCUGUUUCUGAGAUCCAAGUUGAGAGUCACAACUUCCUGACACCCGACCAUGGUGUGUUUCAAAUGUUACUACACUCUGUGUUGUGGCUGUGUUUUCACUAUACCUGCUGUAUGACUUAACUAAGAGAUAAUUAAAUAAUUGGCCCUUUAACUAAAUUACUUUUGUUCAUGAUAAUCCAGAUAAAAUUGAAUACGACAAGGAUGUGACUGAGGAAAUCAUUCAUGCACCAAAUGUGACUGAUGUGUGGAGCGUCAUACCUGGAGGGGACAAAUCAGAGAACCUCCUCCCCCAGACCUCCCCCUUCUCUGGGGCUGCUGUUGCUUCAUCUCUCUGCUUCCUGGAGUUGGAGCCCUUACAGGUGACAGACCUCUACUGUCCAAUUACAUAAAUACUGUACAUACUAUGCAGACCACCUACAGUAUUGGCCAACUGGGUUUCUGUGUUUGUUCAGAGGGCGUCUGACCCUCCACAGCUUGAGAAAGCAAUGAAAUGUUUCUGCCGGGACUCCCAGGAUGCAGUGGACCAACCAGAGAUCCUGACAUCCUGUGCCCUCACUGAGACCACCCAGGACCUUUACUCUGAGCUCCACCAGACCUUUUGUUCUCUGGAGGAGCUGGGAAGUGCAGGGCCCAGUGGCCCAGAUACAGAGAAAGGGUCUACCCUGGAGGGGGAACUGGACAGUGGGGGCUCUGGGAGGUAUAUCCGGCCCUUCUCUCUCCAGGACUCCUCCCUGCUCAUCCCCCGUCGGAGGUCCGUACGCUCCAGACAGCUCCAGAUCCCUGGAGUCCCUCUGUCCCACAGAAUCAACUCCAGACGCAAUCCCCCAGCUCAGCCCCUCCUCAGCCCCAGAGACAUCCAGAGACAGGUUACCUGGAGGGGAGAAGGCCUUGCACAAGGAGGCGGCAGCAUGCUUCAGAUGCACCCCAGAGGAUAGGCUGGGUCACUGUAAGCUGGACAACUGGUGGAAACAAGCCCUGGAGACCUAAAGGGCAUCCACUGGCCUGUUACCUGCCAUAGAGCAGGUAUCCACCAUAGAGCAGGUAUCCACCAUAGAGCAGGUAUCCACCAUCGAGCAGGUAUCCACCAUCGAGCAGGUAUCCACCAUCGAGCAGGUAUCCACCAUCGAGCAGGUAUCCACCAUAGAGCAGGUAUCCACCAUAGAGCAGGUUUCCACCAUAGAGCAGGUAUCCACCAUAGAGCAGGUAUCCACCAUAGAGCAGGUAUCCACCAUCUCAAAAGGUAGUGUGUUUUCUUUACUGUAUGUUUAUAUGCAAAUCAAUCAUUUUGUGUGCUUCAUAGUGCCACAUUCUGCAGACUCCACAUAUGCACUAUUUUAUCUUACGUUUAUCUUAUGAUUAUAUUAAAAUAGACUAGCUUGUUAUUUAUAUCCAUCUUACAUUUAGAAAACCUAUUUAGUGUCACAGCUACCAAAGGUCAAAUAAUUAAUAGUUUGUCAUUUUGCACAGAUUUGCCGAUUUUAUAAAAAUGGUAAUUAUUUAUUGAUAUACAUGCAGAUGGUGUGUUUUUGUGUAUGAGUUUGUAUUGAAGAAUAAAUGCCUCUAGUAACAUCUUCCUUUGUCAUUGUGACGGGGAACAUUAAGAGAGUUGCCCUUUGGAACAUUAGAUUGAUGGAGCGUUAGAAACGGCAGCAGCAGCAGCCCAGGAAGGAAACUAGUGUUGUUUCUCACGUCUGGCUGGAGACUGUACAGUGAAUGCCUCUCUUCAGAGUAAAUGUGUGUGUGUGUACAUGCAUGGGUGUGUGUGUGUGUGUGUGUGCACGUGAGUGCAUGUAAUGCGUGCUUGUUUGUGUGUGUAAGUGUGUGUGGCCAUUGCUGGCCUGUUGCUGUCACUCAGUGGGGAGUCUGUGCCCGGAGUGGGACUCAAGUGCAUGUACUGGUGGGCAGGGGGUCUCCACUGCUGGGAGAGGGGGGGAUGAAGGAUGAAGUGCAGAGAGAAGGUGGUGUACUCUAAUGUCAGACCAGGACUCUCUCAACCUUGUCAUAGUUACUCAUCCGUGACCACCACCCCUUGCUCUCCCUGGUAGGGGCCACUGGUGUUACCCAGAGCAGAUGGAGCUCUGCUGGGCCUCGCUGAUCACCGCUGGGCCUGGGGCAGUGAAGGCUGCUGAGGGGAGGACGGUUCAUAAUAAUGGCCGGAACAGAGCGAAGGAAAUGGCAUAAACACAUGGAAAACAUGUGUUUGAUGUAUUUGAUACCAUUCCACCAAUUCCACUCCAGCCACGCCCCAUUAGGGCGGCAGGUAGCCUAGUGGUUAGCGCGUUGGCCCAGUAACCGAAAGGUUGCUACAUCGAAUCCCCGAGCUGACUAGGUAAAAAUCUGUCAUUCUGCCCCUGAACAAGGCAGUUAACCCACUGUUCCUAGGCCAUCAUUGUAAAUAAGAAUUUGUUCUUAACUGACUUGCCUAGUUAAAUAAAGGUUAAAUAAAACAUUUAAAUAAAUACAAAUUAAGAUGCCCCCAACCUCCUGUGGUCUGGGGGAACCAUGGCCCCACUCACCACACUGAUACCCUGCCACAUCACUGGGACCCGGGUUUAAGAGACCAACACACAGCAGGGGCCAAAUGUGUCAUUUAAUCAAAGCUCAGUUUGUAAAAAAUGUGUUUCAGAAAAGAGGUGGCCCUCACAUCUAGUGUACUUUUAUUCAUCCACAGAAAAGAGGGUCUCUCUUGUUCCUGGGCGACCCUACUCCAACAGUCUGCUCAGCAUCCAGGAGUCUCCAUCCAAGCAGAGAGGAGACAAGCAGGAGGUCAAAUGUGUAGAGGUCAUCUUUAUGUGGUCACUGGUCUUACAUGGAGGGUGUCAGAAUGGAGGGAAAUAUGCUCCGGUUGGCCAAUGGAGGGCGGUGUUGUUGGAUCGAAUCCCAAGCUGACAAGGUAAAAAUCUGUCGUUCUGUCCCUGAACAAGGCAAGGAACCCACUGUUCCCCGGUAGGCCGUCUUCGUAAAUAAGAAU